AUAUUUAAUCCUGGACCUUCUGAUCUC
rnacentral:piRNA from 1 species